rnacentral:rRNA from 1 species
AUUGAGCGCUGGCGGAAUGCUUUACACAUGCAAGUCGAACGGCAGCACGGACUUCGGUCUGGUGGCGAGUGGCGAACGGGUGAGUAAUGUAUCGGAACGUAUCCAAUAAUGGGGGAUAACUAGUCGAAAGAUUAGCUAAUACCGCAUACGCCCUACGGGGGAAAGCUAGGGACCUUCGGGCCUGGCGUUAAUGGAGCGGCCGAUAUCUGAUUAGCUAGUUGGUGAGGUAAAAGCUCACCAAGGCGACGAUCAGUAGCUGGUCUGAGAGGACGACCAGCCACACUGGAACUGAGACACGGUCCAGACUCCUACGGGAGGCAGCAGUGGGGAAUUUUGGACAAUGGGCGAAAGCCUGAUCCAGCCAUUCCGCGUGAGUGAAGAAGGCCUUCGGGUUGUAAAGCUCUUUCGCAAGAGAAGAAAACUUACCCUCUAACAUAGGGUGAGGCUGACGGUAUCUUGAUAAGAAGCACCGGCUAACUACGUGCCAGCCGCCGCAGUAA